rnacentral:rRNA from 1 species
AGGAUAAACGCUGGCGGCGUGCCUAACACAUGCAAGUCGAACGUCCUACGCAAGUAGGGAGUGGCGGACGGGUGAGUAACACGUGGGCAAUCUACCUUUCGGUGAGGAAUACCGGCGAGAAAUCGCCGACAAUACCGCAUACGCUUCGCAAGAAGCAAAGUCGCAAGACGCCGGAGGAGGAGCCUGCGCCCGAUUAGCUCGUUGGUGGAGUAAUGGUCUACCAAGGCGACGAUCGGUAGCUGGUCUGAGAGGAUGAUCAGCCACACUGGGAUUGAGAACGGCCCAGACUCCUACGGGGGGCAGCAGUGAGGAAUUUUCGUCAAUGGGGGAAACCCUGAACGAGCAACGCCGCGUGGAGGAUGAAAUCCCUUGGGAUGUAAACUCCUUUCGAUCGGGACGAUUAUGACGGUACCGGAAGAAGAAGCCCCGGCUAACUUCGUGCCAGCAGCCGC